CCCCAGAUCGGAGUGCAUCGAAGACAGGAAGCUGCAACAGUUGACACUGCAGUCUCCAACUCCAAGAACUCGAUCCGUACCUGCAUCAUACGCUACUCCGUGUGGGGGAGGAAAAAGGAAAUGAAAAAGAAAGGCGACGGCAACGCUCGUCGAGAACGAGGCCCAAGUGCCCAACAUCCGCUCAGAAAAUUCCUAGCACGCACUCGCACGCGGCGAGGCAACGAGGGAGAGCAACCCUACUUCAUGUCGCCUCGAUCUAUAGCUCGAUCCAGUAUGAAGCAGGACGCGCAGUGGCGACAGGGAGACUUUGGGUUGGUGUCGGUUGUGAGGUAG
rnacentral:lncRNA from 1 species